rnacentral:rRNA from 1 species
AGGGUUCGAUCAUGGCUCAGGAUGAACGCUGGCGAGAUGCUUUACACAUGCAAGUCGUACGAGAGUCUUUGACUCAAGUGGCGGACGGGUAAGUAACACGUAAGAAUUUGCCUUUAGGAGGGGGACAACAACUGGAAACGGUUGCUAAUACCCCAUAUGCUUUCGAGUGAAAUGGAUUUAUCCGCCUAGAGAGAAGCUUGCGGCUGAUUAGCUUGUUGGUGAGGUAAUGGCUCACCAAGGCGACGAUCAGUAUCUGGUUUGAGAGGACGAUCAGACACACUGGAACUGAGACACGGUCCAGACUCCUACGGGAGGCAGCAGUGGGGAAUUUUCCGCAAUGGGCGAAAGCCUGACGGAGCAAUCUCGCGUGAGGGAUGACUGCCUAUGGGUUGUAAACCUCUUUUUUCAGGGAGGAAUAAAUGACGUGUACCUGAAGAAUAAGCAUCGGCUAACUCCGUGCCAGCC